UGGACUUAUUUACAAUGGCUGCCA
rnacentral:siRNA from 1 species